CAAUGUCACCUGGAACUUCUGGGCUCAAGUGGUUCUCCCACCUCAGCCUCCCAAGACUAUGGGUGCAUGCCAUCUCACAUGGGACAGGGUCUCGCUCUGUUGCCCAGGCUGGAAAGGUCAGAUUUUUAAAUCAGGUCUUGGGACUGCCAAUUCUGUCUUUCACGAAGUCACCAUCUAUCCUGACAGUGGUCCAUUUCCUGCUGUUUCUCCUCCCCUUCAAUACUCCUCCCCCAUCCCCUCACCUCUAGGUGUGAAGGUUACCAGGUAGAGAGACCUGAGCUCCCUGGCUCUGACUUCAAGGUGGAAAGUUUGAAAAGGCAACCGGUUUGGUUUCACUGGCAGGGCAGUGGCAGGCAUUUGGGUUCCGAAGGCCCAGGGAUGUAGAAGCCUCCAGCUAACAGAGUCCAUUAGCCUUUCCUCCCAAAUGCUCUUGGAGAUAAGCUCCCAGCUCCCUCCCCUUUUCCACCUUUGUGCACCUUCUGCUGUAUUCUGUCCAUUCCAGCACUGGCCCUUUCUGUGGGUGGGUGGCCAGAGGAUACAGUUUCCUGCAUGACUGUUUGCUCAUGAUUCAUACUUCUAAAUGAAAGUACAACUGGUAGAAAAAAA